AUUGAACGCUGGCGGCAGGCCUAACACAUGCAAGUCGAGCGGAUGAAGGAAGCUUGCUUCCCGAUUCAGCGGCGGACGGGUGAGUAAUGCCUAGGAAUCUGCCUAUUAGUGGGGGAUAACUCGGGGAAACUCGGGCUAAUACCGCAUACGUCCUACGGGAGCAAGUGGGGGAUCUUCGGACCUCCCGCUAAUCGAAGAGCCUAGGUCGGAUUAGCUAGUUGGUGAGGUAACGGCCCACCAAGGCAACGAUCCGUAGCUGGUCUGAGAGGAUGAUCAGCCACACUGGAACUGAGACACGGUCCAGACUCCUACGGGAGGCAGCAGUGGGGAAUAUUGGACAAUGGGCGAAAGCCUGAUCCAGCCAUGCCGCGUGUGUGAAGAAGGUCUUCGGAUUGUAAAGCACUUUAAGUUGGGAGGAAGGUCUGUAAGCUAAUAUCUUGCAGUCUUGACGUUACCAACAGAAUAAGCACCGGCUAACUCUGUGCCAGCAGCCGCCGUAA
rnacentral:rRNA from 1 species